UACGUAGGCAGCAAGCGUUGUUCGGAAUUACUGGGCGUAAAGCGUGCGCAGGCGGUUGGUUAAGUCUGAUGUGAAAGCCCCGGGCUCAACCUGGGAAUGGCAUUGGAAACUGGUCAGCUGGAGUGUGGCAGAGGGGGGUGGAAUUCCGCGUGUAGCAGUGAAAUGCGUAGAGAUGCGGAGGAACACCGAUGGCGAAGGCAGCCCCCUGGGCCAACACUGACGCUCAGGCACGAAAGCGUGGGGAGCAAACAGG
rnacentral:rRNA from 1 species